rnacentral:lncRNA from 1 species
AACAAAACAAUGAAAGCUUCACAUGAUUAACAGUUAAUUAUUCUGCAUGCAAAUUUCACUUCUCCACCUAUGAUUCAGUUUUAUAUCACUGCUGCCAGGUAUUUAUUCCUCCAUCAUGGCUUGUGCUUGUAUCACAGAAAUCUCUCUCACUGAAUAAAGAUUCAAGAUGUUUACUGUAAAAAUUGUUUGUCACUGUGUUCCUGACAUCUAUUCUCAUAACUACAGUCUGUGUACUACUGCUUUUAAGGUGAAAGCAUCUGUUUGUCAAUAUCAUCCUACACCAAUACUGAUUGGUGUCAGAAUCUUGAUUUCAUCCAUGUAUGUCCAACUUUUUGUCUUCCUUGGACCACAUUUAAAGAAAAAAAAUUGUUUCAGGCUGCACAUAAAAUAUACUAAUUCUGAUGAUAGUUGAUAAGCAAAAAGUUAAUAAGUAAUAUAUAAAAUAUGAUAUCUACCAUGAC